CGGGGUGCAGCUCAGUUGGCAGAGUGCUUGCCUGGCAUGCAUGAAGCCCUGGGUUCACUCCCCAGCAACACAU
rnacentral:tRNA from 1 species